AUGGAUGUGAGGACUCUUUCCCCAAAUUAUUGACUGUGAUUAUACUGUGCGCAACUGUAAUCCUUCAUUGGAGGAUUCCAAGCCAGAAGUCUGAUCCGU
rfam:Hordeum vulgare subsp. vulgare, WGS project CAJW01000000 data, contig: morex_contig_1564307